AUCCGGCUGAGGAGUCCCAAAUAGGACGAAACGCGCGUCCUGGAU
rnacentral:hammerhead_ribozyme from 1 species